UACAGAGGUCCCAAGCGUUGUUCGGAUUCACUGGGCGUAAAGGGUGCGUAGGUGGCGAAGUAAGUCGGAUGUGAAAUCUCCGAGCUCAACUCGGAAACUGCAUUGGAAACUACUUUGCUCGAGGGUUGGAGGGGGGACUGGAAUACUUGGUGUAGCAGUGAAAUGCGUAGAUAUCGAGAGGAACACCAGUGGCGAAGGCGAGUCCCUGGACAACUCCUGACACUGAGGCGCGAAAGCUAGGGGAGCAAACAGG
rnacentral:rRNA from 1 species